CCUACGGGUCGCAGCAGUAGGGAAUAUUGCACAAUGGGCGCAAGCCUGCUGCAGCGAUGCCGCGUGUAUGAAGAAGGCCUUCGGGUUGUAAAGUACUUUCAGCGGUGAGGAAGGCGAUAAGGUUAAUAACCUUGUCGUUUGACGUUACCCGCAGAAGAAGCACCGGCUAACUCCGUGCCAGCAGCCGCGGUAAUACGGAGGGUGCAAGCGUUAAUCGGAAUUACUGGGCGUAAAGCGCACGCAGGCGGUCUGUCAAGUCGGAUGUGAAAUCCCCGGGCUCAACCUGGGAACUGCAUUCGAAACUGGCAGGCUAGAGUCUUGUAGAGGGGGGUAGAAUUCCAGGUGUAGCGGUGAAAUGCGUAGAGAUCUGGAGGAAUACCGGUGGCGAAGGCGGCCCCCUGGACAAAGACUGACGCUCAGGUGCGAAAGCGUGGGGAGCAAACAGGAUUAGAUACCCGUGUAGUC
rnacentral:rRNA from 1 species